rnacentral:tRNA from 2 species
UAGGGAGACCUACCCAUUGAAGAAUCGAAAGCCGCAGGCGAAUAGAGAAUCAACUGGUCUACUCUAGGUCGGUGACGUGAGAUUGUGAAGUCUUUCAAACUAAUAUUUGGUUCGCGAGAGGGCUAUUAGCUCAGGUGGUUAGAGCGCACCCCUGAUAAGGGUGAGGUCCCUGGUUCGAGUCCAGGAUGGCCCACCUGAAUGGGGGUUUAGCUCAGCUGGUAGAGCGCCUGCUUUGCAAGCAGGAUGUCAGCGGUUCGAGUCCGCUAACCUCCACAUUAGGAAGAAACUAGCAACUAGGGAAGACCUAGACUGCUGGUGGAAACCAGCCAGAACCUUGAAAACUGCAUAUAGAUAGAUAAGAGAGCCGAAAUCGAAAGAUAGAAGCAAGUGAAAAACCAAGU